rnacentral:rRNA from 1 species
UGCGCAGGCGGUUUGAUAAGCCAGAUGUGAAAUCCCCGAGCUCAACUUGGGAACUGCGUUUGGAACUGUCAGACUAGAGUGCGUCAGAGGGGGGUGGAAUUCCGCGUGUAGCAGUGAAAUGCGUAGAGAUGCGGAGGAACACCGAUGGCGAAGGCAGCCCCCUGGACCUGUACUGACGCUCAUGCACGAAAGCGUGGGGAGCAAACAGGAUUAGAUACCCUAGUA